AAAAGUCGUAACAAGGCAUCCGAAGAAGAACCGGCGGAAGGAUCAUUAUCGNANNNNNNNNNNGCCCAGGGCUGUCGCUGACCUUCACAGGUCGUGACGCCCNAAGGUGCUCUCUUAUGUCCAUCUCACCCCUUUGUGCAUCACCGCGUGUGCCCCCCUUAUUGGGCUUGUUCCAAAGGGGGGUUCGCGUUUUAACACAGACACCAAUUUUUAAGAGCAUGUGUAGAAUGUCUUACUUUUUGCGAUUAUGCGCAAUCAAUACAACUUUCAACAACGGAUCUCUUGGCUCUCGCAUCGAUGAAGAACGCAGCGAAAUGCGAUACGUAAUGUGAAUUGCAGAAUUCAGUGAAUCAUCGAAUCUUUGAACGCACCUUGCGCCCCUUGGUAUUCCGAGGGGCACACCCGUUUGAGUGUCGUGAACACCCUCAACCUUCUUGGUUUCUUGACCAGGAAGGCUUGGACUUUGGAGGUUUUCCUUGCUGGCCUUCCUUCGAAGCCAGCUCCUCCUAAAUGAAUUAGUGGGGCUCGCUUUGCCGAUCCUUGACGUGAUAAGUAUGCUUCUACGUCUUGGGUUUUGAACGAACCCGCUUCAAACGGUCUUUGAACAAAGACGAUGUUCGAGUUGCAUCGUGUGACUCGAACACAGCGACCUUGACCUCAAAUCGGGUGAGACUACCCGCUGAACUUAAGCAUAUCAAU
rnacentral:rRNA from 1 species